AUUGAACGCUGGCGGCAGGCCUAACACAUGCAAGUCGAACGGCAGCACAGAAGAGCUUGCUCUUUGGGUGGCGAGUGGCGGACGGGUGAGUAAUGUCUGGGAAACUGCCCGAUGGAGGGGGAUAACUACUGGAAACGGUAGCUAAUACCGCAUAACGUCGCAAGACCAAAGUGGGGGACCUUCGGGCCUCACACCAUCGGAUGUGCCCAGAUGGGAUUAGCUAGUAGGUGGGGUAAUGGCUCACCUAGGCGACGAUCCCUAGCUGGUCUGAGAGGAUGACCAGCCACACUGGAACUGAGACACGGUCCAGACUCCUACGGGAGGCAGCAGUGGGGAAUAUUGCACAAUGGGCGCAAGCCCGAUGCAGCCAUGCCGCGUGUAUGAAGAAGGCCUUCGGGUUGUAAAGUACUUUCAGCGGGGAGGAAGGCGGUGAGGUUAAUAACCUUGCCGAUUGACGUUACCCGCAGAAGAAGCACCGGCUAACUCCGUGCCAGCAGCCGCCGCAG
rnacentral:rRNA from 1 species